UGGGGAAUGAUUGCACAAUGGGCGCAAGCCUGAUGCAGCCAUGCCGCGUGUGUGAAGAAGGCCUUCGGGUUGUAAAGCUCUUUCACCGGUGAAGAUAAUGACGGUAACCGGAGAAGAAGCCCCGCUAACUUCGUGCCAGCAGCCGCGGUAAUACGAAGGGGGUGCUAGCGUUGUUCGGAUUUACUGGGCGUAAAGCGCACGUAGGCGGACUUUUAAGUCAGGGGUGAAAUCCCGGGGCUCAACCCCGGAACUGCCUUUGAUACUGGAAGUCUUGAGUAUGGUAGAGGUGAGUGGAAUUCCGAGUGUAGAGGUGAAAUUCGUAGAUAUUCGGAGGAACACCAGUGGCGAAGGCGGCUCACUGGACCAUUACUGACGCUGAGGUGCGAAAGCGUGGGGAGCAAACAGGAUUAGAUACCCCUUGGUUAGUCCACGCCGUAAACGAUGAAU
rnacentral:rRNA from 1 species